rnacentral:rRNA from 1 species
AACGAACGCUGGCGGCAUGCCUAACACAUGCAAGUCGAACGCCCCGCAAGGGGAGUGGCGAACGGGUGAGUAACGCGAGGGAACCUACCCAGCAGUUGGGGAUAACCGCGGGAAACUGCGGCUAAUACCGAAUACGUCCUACGGGAGAGAGAUAUUAUCGGUGUUGGAGGGGCCCGCUUCGGAUUAGCUAGUUGGUGAGGUAACGGCUCACCAAGGCGACGAUCCGUAGCUGGUCUGAGAGGAUGAUCAGCCACACUGGGACUUAGACACGGCCCAGACUCCUACGGGAGGCAGCAGUGGGGAAUAUUGCACGAUGGGGGCAACCCUGAACCAGCAAUGCCGCGUGAGUGAUGAAGGCCUUAGGGUUGUAAAGCUCUUUUACCGGGGACGAUGAUGACGGUACCCGGAGAAUAAGCCCCGGCUAACUUCGUGCCAGCAGCCGCCGUAA